CCCAUCUCCUGUCUUUCAAAAACUACUCGGGGAAAGACACGAGACAGGGGUCCUCCAGCAGGUCCAGAUCUUGACUUCACAAGAGACUCAUCUGGGAAAGAAAGACAGGGCUGAACUGAAGAUGUUGGGCACGGGCUUGAACGCUAGAAGGAGGUACAGCCUACUGAAAGCAUGAAUUCGAUGGCGCUGACAAGCAGUGUUUUAAAAGCUGGAUGUGCACCCUUACCUGCCAGGACCACAAUCUCUGUUUCUGAGGGCUCCCUGGCAUUGUGCUGCAGUUGGUGUUUGGCCACAGAGGAUGGUUCUCUCAGGCUGAAGCAGGAACACCAACUGCCAGCUGCUGGUUCCUUCAUCUUGCUGGGUGGACUUGGUCUGGAGGGAGAAAAGAGUGAGCGGUGUGAGUCGUGCAUGGUGCAGGGUGAGGGAAGAGCUGCCCUGAGCUCUUGCCAACACUUGCUUGUUCCUAGCACUGCCUGGUUCCUGCUGAAACACAACUUAGAAACUCGCUCCGUUUCACACAGUUGAGGAUGGUUCCAUUCCUAGAGCAUAGCCCAGGAGUCUUGCUGGCUACAUUCCCCUCAACCAUGUCAAGCAAGAUGCAGAGCAUGCGAGCAAAAGCUGCACAGCUGUCCAGGACAGCAGCGAAGGGAUGGCUUUGAUUGAGCUGGCAGGCGUAACUGCUUUCUGAGGAACCGUGCAGCCGUGGAGGAAGUUCAAAAGCAUCUCUGUCACUUACAUUAGUAGUAGGUCCCCUUUGGUGGCUAAACCGAGCCUGUCGGGACACUGUGUGUGAGUUGAAUCUCAGAGUCCAAAGGGAGCGGAGACGGAGUACAACACCACACGCACCAUUAACGUCACGUAGCUUCUGCAAGUUUGUGCACUAGCACUUGUGGAGAAAAACCCACAAAAGCCCACCCAACCACGCCUGAUAGGAAGGUGCUGGGAAAGAAAGUCCUCUUUACCUUUCAGACGGAAAGUCGAUGACUGUGUGGAAUUUGCCCCCUGCAGCUGCGGGGCCUUCUUCCACUUCAAUGUUUGUGCUGUGUGUCAGUGCGGGAGGGCUGCUGUGGCCUCGCCUCUGUGCCUGUGCCUCCUCCACGCUGAGCAGCCUGGUGGCGGGAGAAGACACCCGCACAGACUUGGGCCCUGAUGAAGAACUGUGCCCUGGAAGGGAAGACAAGACCACAGCUAAGAGGGAGGAUCAGAAAGCAGCAGCACAGCCACCACACUUCUGGGGGAGGUGCUGCCCGCUUCUCAGCCUUGCUUAUCCGAGCCACUGGAAGAAGAGGAGGUCCAAAGAACCGUGUGGUCAGAGGAAUGUUUAUGGCAAAGAACACAGUCAUCAUUCACAGCAGCUCACUGUAGCGAAACAGGCAAGCAAAAACCCGAGAAGAGGGGGGCAGGGAACUCAGAAAGCUUUGCUGCCACGCUUUCAUCAAGCUUCACCUGCAUGCAAAACAUCAUCGUGACAGGGAUGGUUUUCUCCUUCUCAACUUUGGGCUUGGACACUCUCAGCAUCCAGCCACAGGGUGCCAUAUUCUAAUCUACGCCCACAAGCCUGCUGGCCCCUCGACAGUAAAAGCAUCUUUCAGCCAUCUUGGAGAAGGUCAAGGUGUCUGAUCAAGACAAAGCUAUUGCAGGAAGACGCUCACCUGCUCCAUCUCCGAUGCCUGAUGUGGAUGUGGAGCAGAAGAGGACGUCUGCGUGGUUGAUGAUGAAUUCUACCACGUCCGACUGCCUCUGCAGUUCCAUGCAGGCAGCUCUUCCGCUGGCGCAGGCAGACUCGUUCUGCUGGGAUCUGUAGAAAAG
ensembl:lncRNA